CAUAAGCAGCUUUACACUGCAAAUAUAACACAGAGAGACCUGGAGCAGAAUAUACUACAGAGACCAAGUCUCACUUUCAGUGGUGAUUCACAGGGGCAAAUGAGGACAAAAUUAAUGAGGAAGAAGAGAAGAGGCAUAAUUUCUCUCAUAGGGGAACAAAGAUCAUUUUAGGAGAAGGUAAACAAAACCCACCAUUGCAGAGUGAUGCAGAGGGAGGAAGGAGGCUGUACUGCACAGUUUUGUGUGCAGCUUGGAAAAUGUAUUCCAUCAUUUUUACAGUGAAAAAGCUGGUGGAGCCACGUGGCUUCUUCAUGCUGGCAAGUUAGUUGUGUAUUUAGCAUGCUCAGCUGCUAGUAAGGUUGUAAACCAUACUUUUUACUCAGCUGCACUGCCAUGGGAUGGCCUUGAAUAACCUCCUGUGUCACAUCAGGGCUUUUAGCUGGUGAAAUGAAACAUGACUGUGAAUCAGAGGAAGGAAGAAAACAGACUCUCUUCAAAUUCCUUUUUGAUAGCCAGGACAUUCCUUUUGCCAGGAAGGCUCGCUAUCAUGAACAUCCAUCCACAAACCCCAGAAAGCCAGAUCCAGUCAAUAAGGCUGACCAGAAGACUAGGAGUCUUUUGGUUCUUGAAAGCCCAAGAGGAGUGGUAUGAAAAUAACAGCAUCUCCUAUGUGGCUCUCUGGUGCUGUUGUAUGCUGCCUUACACUGCUGAGUCUGCAAACAUGAUUUCCUACGCCUCAGCUUGGGGGAAAGGCCAGAAAUACCAUGCCAGAAUCACACAGCACAUGUUCAAGGCAGGCAAGUGGCAGGUUCAAAGUGGAACAAAGAAACAGCUCCUUUACAUAAUGCACAGUUAAGCUCUGGAGUACCUUUUCGCAGGAUUUUAUAGAUGCUGGAGGUUCCUGUGAGUUUCAGAAGUAAUUGAAAUACAAUCCUGGAAGAAAUAAACGUCAGAAGCGACCUGAUGCAGCUCUGCUGCUGUAUUAUACAGGGGGUUCUUAAGCCAAAACUUGCUGGAGACUGGAAGAGUAUACAGGGCAGAGGUUGCUAUAUGCUGGCCCUACUCUUUAGUCUUACCACAGCACCACUGCUGGACAUUAUCAGAGAAAGGACUCUAGACUACACAGAAUGGUUGCAUCUGCUGUUGCUGAUUUUAUAUAUUUUACAUAAUGCAGGAUGAGACUAGAGUCUUCUGGGUUUACACACUUCCACACAGGGAAAUCCCACCUUUGGGAAACAGAGGCUUUUUCUAAAGAGACUUUUAGUGACAUCAGCUUUUAAUGACAAUAGAU